rnacentral:rRNA from 1 species
GAUGAACGCUGGCGGCGUGCCUAAUACAUGCAAGUAGAACGCUGAAGGAAGGAGCUUGCUCUUUCCGGAUGAGUUGCGAACGGGUGAGUAACGCGUAGGUAACCUGCCUGGUAGCGGGGGAUAACUAUUGGAAACGAUAGCUAAUACCGCAUAACAGUAGAUGUUGCAUGACAUCUGCUUGAAAGGGGCAAUUGCUCCACUACCAGAUGGACCUGCGUUGUAUUAGCUAGUUGGUGAGGUAACGGCUCACCAAGGCGACGAUACAUAGCCGACCUGAGAGGGUGAUCGACCACACUGGGACUGAGACACGGCCCAGACUCCUACGGGAGGCAGCAGUAGGGAAUCUUCGGCAAUGGACGGAAGUCUGACCGAGCAACGCCGCGUGAGUGAAGAAGGUUUUCGGAUCGUAAAGCUCUGUUGUAAGAGAAGAACGAGUGUGAGAGUGGAAAGUUCACACUGUGACG